rnacentral:rRNA from 1 species
AUUGAACGCUGGCGGCAGGCUUAACACAUGCAAGUCGAGCGGGGACUUCGGUCCUAGCGGCGAACGGGUGAGGAAUGCUUGGGAAUCUGCCCAGUAGUGGGGGAUAACGUUUCGAAAGGAACGCUAAUACCGCAUACGUCCUACGGGAGAAAGGGGGGGAUCUUCGGACCUCUCGCUAUUGGAUGAGCCCAAGUCGGAUUAGCUAGUUGGUGAGGUAAAGGCUCACCAAGGCGACGAUCCGUAGCUGGUCUGAGAGGAUGAUCAGCCACACUGGAACUGAGACACGGUCCAGACUCCUACGGGAGGCAGCAGUGGGGAAUAUUGGACAAUGGGCGAAAGCCUGAUCCAGCCAUGCCGCGUGUGUGAAGAAGGCCUUCGGGUUGUAAAGCACUUUAAGCGAGGAGGAAUGGCUCUUGGUUAAUAACCUUGGGCAGUGACGUUACUCGCAGAAUAAGCACCGGCUAACUCUGUGCCAGCCGCCGCGGUAACAC